ACACACACACACACACACAUAAAGAUAAUUAAAGGAAAUUAAGUAAAAAAUAGAUUGACAUGUUCAGAGAGGUGUGAUUAAGAUCAUGUGAAGAGGAAGGAGGAAAAGAGGAAGAUCAAGGAGGAGGUUUAUGGAUGUGGUGAGUGAAGAUGUGCAGAUGGUUGUUUUGAAAGAGGCAGAUGUAGAGGACAGAGUGCUACAGAGAUGGAUGGUCCGCUGUGAAGACCCCAAACGGGAGCAGCUGAAAGAAGAAGAAGAAGAAGAAGUAAUAAACUAAAUUGCUGCGUUUCCUAAAGAACCGAUGCUCUGUCGUCUGUGAGAAGUGUGAGACACGGUUCUUCUCGACAUACUUGGCGAAUAAAUCAGAUUCUGAUCCUGAUCCCAGAUCUACACUUCACAAGCAUUUACACAACAGCCAUGACGUGAACUUCAGUUCUUCAGAAACAUUUCCUCCUGGAGAUUUUUCAGCUGCAUUCACCAACAGUUUCACGUUCAAGUGAACUCCAUCAGUGAACGAGUGAUUGGUUGAUAACAGCGAUGGAGAAACUGAAUGGACGUUCAGUGUUGAGGAUGAUGAUGGGUCUAUUUUCUCUCAAGGUUUUCUUCCUCAUACCAUCUCAGGGAGUUUUUCCCUCACGAUAAGCGUCACCUCGGGCUCGCUCUUUUUAGAUUAAAACUUACAGGGACUAUUUUUACAAUGCUAAAAUCUAUAUUUAUCAUCGAUUUAUGUCUGUAAAUCACUGUACACACACCUUUAAUUGAUGUUUUUUUUGCUCCACCAAAGGAAAUAGAUCCAGAAGAAGCCAUGCCUACUUUAGAUUGCUAGCUGGUGCCCAAUGAUUUUUCUUAAAAGAAUCAAAUAAAAACUAAUAAAUACAAAA